AUUAUCUCCGGCGAUGGAGUCCGCCAGAACCGCCUUUCCAGGCUGAUGACUCCUGCCAAGGU
rnacentral:ncRNA from 2 species